GACGAACGCUGGCGGCGUGCUUAACACAUGCAAGUCGAACGGAAAGGCCUGCUUUCCCUUGUGGAUUGCGGGUACUCGAGUGGCGAACGGGUGAGUAACACGUGAGUGAUCUGCCCCCAACUUGGGUAUAAGCCUGGGAAACUGGGUCUAAUUCCCGAUAGGACUGCAGGGUGGUGCCUGUGGUGGAAAACGAUUUUCUAGUGGUUGGGGAUGAGCUCGCGGCCUAUCAGCUUGUUGGUGGGGUAAUGGCCUACCAAGGCGGCGACGGGUAGCCGGCCUGAGAGGGUGGACGGCCACAUUGGGACUGAGAUACGGCCCAGACUCCUACGGGAGGCAGCAGUGGGGAAUAUUGCACAAUGGGCGGAAGCCUGAUGCAGCGACGCCGCGUGGGGGAUGACGGCCUUCGGGUUGUAAACUCCUUUCGACCGCGAGGAAGCCACCUGGUUGGAAGGGUGGUGACGGUAGUGGUAGAAGAAGCACCGGCUAACUACGUGCC
rnacentral:rRNA from 1 species